GGAAUAACGUUCGAAAGGAAUGGUAAUACCGCAUGAGACCGAUGGCUGGGAUGCUGUCGGUGAAACCCGGGGACCGCAAGGCCUGGGGCAAGGAGAGGGUCCUGCGUCUGAUUAGCUAGUUGGCGGGGUAACGGCCCACCAAGGCGUCGAUCAGUAGCCGGCCUGAGAGGGUGAUCGGCCACACUGGAACUGAGACACGGUCCAGACUCCUACGGGAGGCAGCAGUGGGGAAUUUUGCGCAAUGGGCGAGAGCCUGACGCAGCAACGCCGCGUGGGUGAUGAAGGUCUUCGGAUCGUAAAACCCUGUCGUCAGGGACGAAGGUCGCGAGUUUAAGAGAUGCGCGACUUGACGGUACCUGGAGAGGAAGCCCCGGCUAACUCUGUGCCAGCAGCCGCGGUAAUACAGAGGGGGCAAGCGUUAUUCGGAAUUAUUGGGCGUAAAGGGCGCGUAGGCGGUGAUUUAAGUGAGAUGUGUAAUCCCCGAGCUUAACUUGGGAACUGCAUCUCAGACUGGGUCGCUGGAGUGCUGGAGAGGGUGGUGGAAUUCCACGUGUAGCGGUGAAAUGCGUAGAGAUGUGGAGGAACACCAGUGGCGAAGGCGGCCACCUGGACAGUAACUGACGCUGAGGCGCGAAAGUGUGGGGAGCAAACAGGAUUAGAUACCCUGGUAGUCCACGCUGUAAACGAUGAACACUUGGUGUGGUGGGAGUUGACCCUCGCCGUGCCGUAGCUAACGCGAUAAGUGUUCCGCCUGGGGAGUACGGUCGCAAGGCUGAAACUCAAAGGAAUUGACGGGGGCCCGCACAAGCGGUGGAGCAUGUGGUUUAAUUCGACGCAACGCGAAGAACCUUACCUGGGCUUGAACUGCUAG
rnacentral:rRNA from 1 species